AGCUCCAGCCCAAGCUGCAGGCCUGCUGUUGGACCUACCACCAGAGCCAGAGAAGCUGCCGCCGCCGCCGCCAGCCCCAGGGCGAGCCUGCCCCCAACACCGAUGCCCAUUGGCCACCCGCCCCACUGCAGAACGCCCGGAGCAGCUGCCCCAGGGACAAGACCAUCGGACGAAGUUGCUGCCGGCAACCCAGCAUUGCCAGCCUUCAAACUUUCCUUUGCAACACUGAGCCUGGACACUUGUAGAAAAUGGAUGGAAGGAGACUGUGUGGAAAAAUGUGUGGACACAGCACCAUGCAUCUGUCAGCUUUCCAUGGAUACCAGCAAAUGCUCCAUAGAUCAUGAUUUGGGAACUGUUGUAAGGGAAGCCAGGCAAUUCAGACGUGAUGAUCACAAUAUUAAAUCAUCUCCUAGAAACAAGUAGAAAGUAAAGAAUGGCAAGGAUAUGUGGGAUGCCUGAGGAGUCAGGAUAAGUGGAGAAAAAACCUGAAAAUAUUC